CUCCAGUCUAUAGUCAUUUAACCAGCCACACACUAAACUCAGAGUUUUCUGCUUGUCUCCUGUGUGCAGGUUCAGAGUUGUGAUACGAUUGUCUUCUUUCCUGGUGUGUGGGUGUGCUAAGGCUGCUGCUGAUAUCCCAGAUUGUGUGGCACACGGUUGGGUCGCAGUCUAGGGAGUCGCAUGCUGCAGAGUCACAGCUACUUAGUGGAGUUACCAGAGGCCCCAAGCAGUGAGGAGGCCAUAGCUGACCAGCCUGUGACCAACAGUAGCAGACCCGUCCCUGUCGUGUUGUUUGGCUUUGCCCCACGCAGGGAAACGAAGUUGAGCUCACCCAGCCACAAAGAGCCUGAUUCCCUUUUAUUUAACUGACCCUGAGCUUUCCCCCAUUUGAACUGACUUUUUAUCUUUCUUAGCUUCAGCCUUGUUUUAAACCUCUUUCUAUUUAUUCUAUUUAGUCUAUUUAUUGAAAUGCAUGAAUAAACUUGGAGGCUAUAUUUUG